AGGAAAAGGAUCAAUGGAGGGUUCUGAUUUUAUAGAAGCUGGUAUACUUAACAGGACCACAGGAUCCAAGCAAUCUAUCCUCUUGUGUGCAUUUGUACAAAGAAAAGAAAAUAGCUACGACUUGUGGCAGUUAGUCAAUUGAAUCCUCUAACCUCUAGGUAACAUGCGGUGGAGGGGAAAACCUUGCGCUCCUUCACCUCUCUCUCAGCCUCACCCGGAUGCUUCUUGUUAUUGUUCUUCCUCGCUUGACUGUUGUGGAUGCGCUAGGUUGUGUUGGUCAGGACAUGGCGUGAAGGCAGCAACGCUCAAUGUCACUCGAGUAUGUUGGUUAAUGUGUGUGAAAUUUUAGAUGUAGUGCGCCAUUGAUGUUAAACUUUAUAUUUUAUUUUAGCAUCUGGAGAAAAUUGGCCAUGACAUAACUUCAAAAUUUUAUAACACUCUUGUGUCAGCUUUACUAGGUUUUUAUGGGUGAGCAAUUCUAGGAAAGCUAACAAUGCCUUGAAAAUAGGCUGUCUUAGUUUUUUUGAAGAUAUUUUAUUUCGGAAGGAUUUUAGUUGUACGAGUCCACGAGGGAGUGAAUUUUUCUUAUUCCAAGUUCAUUCAUUGGAACCACCAUUUAGUUUGAGUACCUGCACUGCACAAUUCAAUACAUAUCAUGGAUAUAUCAUUUAGCGGUAUUUUAAUUUAUAUAUGUGGAUCUUAUUAUGUUGUGGGAAAUUUGUUUCUCUAUAAUGUGUAAAAUAUGUCAAUGUCUUUUUAGACCCAGAAGUGGACAAGGAGUAUAAGAGGAUCUCUAUCAGUAUAAAGAAAAAUGCAGAGAAGAUCAAGGUACGAUUAGGUCAUUGAACCUUCGAUAACUAAUUUGGAUCAGAGGUAGUAAUAGAUCUAUGUUCAUCUCUCUUUUGCACAAUAUUUCUUGAAAGGGAUGAAACAAGUUUUUAACAAUAUUUGUUUUGAUCCAGCAAGGAAUGCACAAAUCUUUAUCUUCUUGUUAGUCCAAAUGUAGCAGAGGAGAUUACAUGGGUAUGCUUUAGCACUACAAUAGCUCAUUCAAUUCGCCUUUUCACUUUUCUUUUGCUUAAACUAUGGAAGGGUUGACCUCACGUUAGGUCAGACAUGGAGAAUUAAUUAGCCCACAUGCAAUUACUUUUAGUACCAAUUCAGAAAUGCAGUAUGAUGUGGGAAUAGAUGUUGUACACAUUGUCAAAGUGUAUAUUACUGUUUUUUUUCCUCCAGAUUAUUUAGUCCAUCUAAUACUCUAAUAGAGAAAAAUUAUCCAUUGUGCUGGUUCAGGUUUGCCUUUCCUCCUCUUUUCCCCCAAUCUUGAUAAACAACACUGUAUAUGUUUUUAGUAUUUUGAUUUUGCCAUUUCCAAGUGGAUGAUUAGGUUCAGAUCUUAGAUGUUGCGUGAUUUAGGUACUUUUUUGCGGUGCACAUUUUUUUAUCAUGGCCAUAUACACAUGUCUCCUAAAAGGUGCGAUGAGAUAUUUAUUGGUUGUAAAAUCUAGAGGAUUCAUAUUUGGCUGAACGAUCGCGUCGGCCAUUGGCGCAAAGUUGGGAAACUCCCAGGUAAUCUCACCUGUAAAUUUGACCAUCCACGGGGCUGAAGAGGAUCUGGCAUGUAUUUAUAUCAAGUGUUGUUGUGCAAGUACUACAACACUCUGAAUCUAUUAACUAGCCCACUAAGCACGCUACUGCACUUUUCUAAAAAGUUUCUGUUGAGUAGACUCAUUAAAUUCUGCUACAAGGUGGAUCAGACAUUGGAGAGAUUUUAAGCAUGUUCUGGUCGAUUAGGCCGCAGCUUGUCAUAGUUUACAGUCACAAUCGUAUGUACUGCUGAUUUUAUUCUCAGAGACAGUGAAGGUGACUUGAUUUCCGAGAGUUAUGUACUUGCAUAUGGAACGGAUUACUUUGAGAUGCACCUCGGAGCCAUCGAACCAGUGCAUGCCAAAAAAAUUGUUCUGCUCAUUUUCGGUAUCAAGAGCCUGUGGUUCAGCUAUUAAGGUUUUGUGGUAGGAGCAAAAAAGACAUGAUUGACCUCACCGUGCGUUGUAAAAAGAAUCAUCACAAAGUUUGGACAAGCUACCAGGACACUUUCCGUAGACUAAAGUUUAGCACGCACUGAUGGCAUGCAGCGGACAUAAUGGUGGUAGUGAUGGAGAUGGCAUGGUGGACGAGGGGGCAGCAGCCGGGUACACUCAUAUGAGGGCCAGGAGGGGUGAGGCCAUAGACCGCCACAAACAUUGCACAUAUGAUAAGCGCCGCACGUGUGCCAGGACAACCAAGUUAUUUGUUCUUUGCCAGCGCCACAUGUGCCAUAACCGUAAGCCACUUAUGUUUGUUCUUUUCCUGGACCAGAGAUAGUGAAAAGGUUUGACAUAUUUCUCCAAUGCAAAGUUGCAAAAUAAAAUGAUAAAUGCUAUUCCUAAACAACUUUUUACUGGAGGUAGUUAAGUUCCAUUUUGUAAUUUCAAUAUGGCUUUACCAGGUAGGGAGUUCCCAACUACAAAAGACGUUGGCAAAUUACAUUAUGCAGAUUUAGAAUGUUAAGUGGUAUUUUAUUCGGCACCAUCUUAAUCACACGAUAGUAUUGUACUUCUGGGCUAACUACAAUAUAUUGGCAGAAAUUGUCAAGCUCUUCGUUCUUAGGUUGUUGAUUUUACCCUCAUGCUCCCUUAACUUCAAGUGAUGCUCUGAAUAGUGUAUUAUUAUACAGUAGAUUUAAAGAAAUUCUUGCUUACUGUCCAGGGUUUGUCCGUAGAAGAUCCUUCUUUUGCUGCUGUAAACGAGCAAUUAAACUAUAGUGAGUUAAACAUGAUGUUUAAGGUUAAAGAUAAAAUUUCAAGGAUUAAAUUAACGACAAUCUACCUUUAUUGGCGAACUAUUACUUCCUUGUCCACUUUUCUUUAGCCAUGGUAAGCUGUUCAAUAUCUCCGUCAUUGUACAACACCUAGGCAGAGAGAAUAUUUGUAAUUAGUAUACCCAGUACAGCCACGAUAUCUUAUCAUCAUGACUUAAAAUUAUCAACCAUACAGUUGUUGCACACUGUGAUGUUAGGUAGCUAUUCAAGAUUCGUAUUAGUGAGGAUGAAGAAAAUCCAGGAGCAGGAGAGAGUAAAUUAUAUCAGUUCUAUUUUUCAUGUGUUUAAAGUCUCUGAUUUGUUUAGUUUAUGCAUCAGAAAAAUGCACUUUAUUUGUAGGCUCCUACAAGUAACAAUGAAGAAGAAAACUGUUUUGCUCUUUUAUUGUAUAAAUUGGUUUGCAAGAUAGUGAUCUGUCACCAAUAGGAUGGCCACUAAUUUAGAGUUUAGACUCUCAUGUCUGCACUACUUGCUAACCUGCAUCAAGAACAAUUUUUAUUGAUAAUCCAAACAUGCACAACAAUGAUUUUAGUUCUUAAUUUACCAUAUAGUUUUGGUUAGUGUGACUAUCCUAAAUAUAUUGUUCUGAGUAUGGCAUAAGUAAGUACUUCUCCAUCUCCAAAUAUAAGCUUCGGAGAUCUCCCAUGUUUUUUGUCUAAUUUUUAUGCAGAGUUUUGGGACCUUCACACAGAAACAAGCAUCAAGAACUCCAGAUUUUGGGAGCUGCACAGAAAAACAAGCAGCAAGAGCACUUUGUUUUACUGGUAACCCAAACAUGCAGAACUUUAUUUUCAGUUAUUGCUUUACAUGUAAUUUUCAUGUGUAUGAUCACCGCAAAUAUACUGUUCUGAAUAUGGCUUAAAUAAGUAGUCAUCUAUCCUGAAAAGUAAGCUUGGAAGGUCAACCUUGUUUUUUUGUCCAUGGAAUGACACACGUGUGGUGCGUGUGUAACAGAUGGGCACUAAUUUUUCUCUUAGCCAAAUGGAGAAAAGGAUUAACAGGAAAAUGAAGAGGUCACCUUUAAUUACCUUUUUGCUGCUGAAAACUUCGGCGAUUCGUCUCGGGGCAGACCUAAUAGCAUGGCAACGGCAUAUGGCAACGCUCACUCGCCAAUGGCUUGUUGUUGAUAAUGAUCCAAGCCGUCAAGCUGGGAUUCAGAGAGAAACCUGCUCCUAUUUUUACCUUCCACUGCACACCAUUUGGAGGAAUCUGGGCAUGCCCACGUUGGUGCUUGCACGUGCGCUUCAGGCUCCUCCAAAAUCGUUAGGGUGUAGUAAAUGACGAUACAUUGUCAGCAACCCCAUGUUGAUCAACGCCGGAGUUCGCUGAAUUUGGGAAGAGGGGGAGCUGGUCGUCGGGCCAAAGUGAGAAAACGGGAUCUGUAGUUCUGGGUAGGUACAUGUGAGUAUGCGAUCUGGUAAGAGAUAACCCAAAUCUUUUUUGGAAGAGAUGACAGAACCAGACCUGCAUGGCUGCAUGUGAGUGGCCAGCUUGGGAGGCACGUUGUCGGUUUAUGCGUCCUGUGUGCUGCUGGGCCGUGUGUAAGAUGCAUGUGUGAUUAGUGGCAUCUGCAUACACUAAAAGUUUGCUCCUUAAUUUCUAUGCACAAAAUAGAAGUGUAAAUAACUGUUAGCUUUCAUCUAAUGGCGGAGCAUCACUUAAUUUGCAACAAAGAUUGCUUCUAUUAUUUACUUGAUUAGCUGUGUUAGUGCUUAACAAGCACAGCAUUGUUUUCUCUACAUUUACCUAGCAAAUGACUAAAUUACAGAACUAUCAGCUUUUGUCAACUAGCCUUACAUUUAAUCGAUAGUAAUAUGGACGAUGUUUAAAUUUGUGCAAAGUAUAGCAGUGUAUGGAAGAUGUAUUCUCUAUGUAGACUUCCACUGAUAUUUCUUAUACCAUGUACAAGAUCAACCCUGAAAAAAUAUUAGUCGAUCUUAUCUUUCACAAGCUCAUUAGGUACCAUUUUCAGCCUAAAGUUAAAAAUGUUAGAAAUAGCUAGGUGUUUUAUGCUUUCUAUUGUUCCUACUGUUAAGUAUUUAACUAGAUAUAUUUUUGUGCUUCAAAAUCCUUAUGUUAAGUAUCAAAUGGCCAACUAUUUUUUUCAUCACGAGUGGUCGUCGAUGCGGAUUGCUCGAUGUUGAGUCCACCUGCUGAGUGGCAAGACAAGAGGAAGGGGAUCAUGUGCCAAGUCGUGCACCAAGAUUUCAUAUUGCAAAUGCAUAUAUUCCCAAGGAUUUUUUUGCAUGCAAAUUAGGAUAGGGCUCUACUGUAUAUAUUCCGACCAAGAUCCAUAUUACAAUUGUGCACUGAUUCAUAGAAAAUUGAUUACUUAAAUAAUUCCAGUCUCAACCAAAAUUAUUCUUCGAAGUUGAUUUCUUUUAUCUUUGGAUAAUGGAUUCAUAUUGUAUGAGAUAUACAUAUGCCAAAUGCUUUUUAAUGUAUAUGGAUUGCUAAAUAUUAUCGACUUGUAUAAAUACUAAUGUAAUUCGU